AUCGCUUCUCGGCCUUUUGGCUAAGAUCUAGUGAAGUAUCUGUUC
rnacentral:snRNA from 1 species